AACGCUGGCGGCAGGCCUAACACAUGCGAGUCGAGCGCCGUAGCAAUACGGAGCGGCAGACGGGAGAGUAACACGUGGGAACGUACCCUUUGGUUCGGAACAACCCAGGGAAACUUGGGCUAAUACCGGAUAAGCCCUUACGGGGAAAGAUUCAUCGCCGAAGGAUCGGCCCGCGUCUGAUUAGCUAGUUGGUGGGGUAAUGGCCCACCAAGGCGACGAUCAGUAGCUGGUCUGAGAGGAUGAUCAGCCUCACUGGGACUGAGACACGGCCCAGACUCCUACGGGAGGCAGCAGUGGGGAAUAUUGGACAAUGGGCGCAAGCCUGAUCCAGCCAUGCCGCGUGGGUGAUGAAGGCCCUAGGGUUGUAAAGCCCUUUCGGCGGGGAAGAUAAUGACGGUACCCGCAGAAGAAGCCCCGGCUAACUUCGUGCCAGCAGCC
rnacentral:rRNA from 1 species